rnacentral:rRNA from 1 species
GAGUUUGAUCCUGGCUCAGGACGAACGCUGGCGACGCGCCUAACACACGCAAGUCGAACGGUGAAGAGGAGCUUGCUCCUCGGAUCAGUGGCGGACGGGUGAGUAACACGUGAGCAACCUGGCUCUAAGAGGGGGACAACAGUUGGAAACGACUGCUAAUACCGCAUAACGUAUCGGGAUGGCAUCUUCCUGAUACCAAAGAUUUUAUCGCUUAGAGAUGGGCUCGCGUCUGAUUAGAUAGUUGGCGGGGUAACGGCCCACCAAGUCGGCGAUCAGUAGCCGGACUGAGAGGUUGAACGGCCACAUUGGGACUGAGACACGGCCCAGACUCCUACGGGAGGCAGCAGUGGGGGAUAUUGGACAAUGGGGGCAACCCUGAUCCAGCGACGCCGCGUGAGGGAAGAAGGUUUUCGGAUUGUAAACCUCUGUUGACGGAGAAAAAAAUGAUGGUAUCCGUUUAGAAAGCCACGGCUAACUACGUGCCAGCCGCCGCGGUAAUAC